AUACGUAGGGGGCGAGCGUUGUCCGGAAUGAUUGGGCGUAAAGGGCGCGUAGGCGGCCCGGUAAGUCUGGAGUGAAAGUCCUGCUUUUAAGGUGGGAAUUGCUUUGGAUACUGUCGGGCUUGAGUGCAGGAGAGGUAAGUGGAAUUCCCAGUGUAGCGGGGAAAUGCGUAGAGAUUGGGAGGAACACCAGUGGCGAAGGCGACUUACUGGACUGUAACUGACGCUGAGGCGCGAAAGUGUGGGGAGCAAACAGGAUUAGAUACCCUGGUAGUCCACACUGUAAACGAUGAAUGCUAGGUGUAGGGGGUAUCGACCCCUUCUGUGCCGCAGUUAACACAAUAAGCAUUCCGCCUGGGGAGUACGGCCGCAAGGUUGAAACUCAAAUGAAUUGGCGGGG
rnacentral:rRNA from 1 species